GUUAAACAUAUAUUUGGUAAUAAUGUUGGAUUUAAUUUUAUUCUCUGUUCUGAAAGUGGAGGAUUAAAACUCCCUCUUGUGAUGAAGCUGCUGUGAUACAGUCAAACAGAACAGCAAGAAGAUUGUUUUCUCAACUGCUGGUUCCAAGAAACAGCCGAAACAGUGACGUCACAGAGAUGCAGAUCUCUGCAGGGGAACCCGCCCGCGUCCUGACCAUCAGAACCAAGUCACAAUUCGCCAACCAGCUGCUGGACAUCGUGCUGGAUCGAGUCAUCCUGCAGGUGGAAUCCGAACCACAAACGGGGGAGGAGCCGCAGGUGGAAAGUGAAAUGGAUCCUGGGGAGCAUCUUCGAGGAGAAAGAGGUUCAGGUCCCAUGAAAGCUGUGAACAAUCUUGCGUCAAAACUGCAGAAAUGGAUGACUGCAGGGGAUAAAAACACUGCUCGGACGGAUGCACCCGAGCACGCCGCUCUCCCCUCGGAUGGCGCCUCCUGCAGUGCGUCGAGGGAAGAGGAGAAACAACAGGAGUCCCAACUUUAAUAAAGGCAGUGACUGCAGGAUAAAGGG
ensembl:lncRNA